CCCCAGCCCACCGAUACCGGGUACAAACUAUUUAUAGCCCCGCUGUAACUUGUCUGCACUGGACACGCGCGCCUGUCCACAAGGCAGUCGUGACGUAGACGGCGCGAGCUCGGUGAAUCGUGACGACGGAGAUGAGAGAUGGAGACGUUUUAAGCCAGUUUGAGAUUCUCUGUGAGCAAACAGCUCCAGUCGAACACACGAUGGGGAGCACCGCCGCUCUGACCACACCCAAGUGACCAGGAACGGCGACUCCAACCGUGGUAAAUGAUUCCUGCAAUUUUCAACCUGGGAAACAGUUGAAGUUGUGAUCUAGAGUGAAGUGGACUGGGUGAGAUGGUAGAUGAAACUUCACUAAUUUAGCUUCUAAAGCAUUAUUUGUGGAGGAAAAUACAUCCAUCGACCUCACCGGGUUCAGCAUCAGGACCAGCAGAUGCAGGAACUUCAUAAACUGGAAAUCCUACGCUGACAGAUUUAACAGGUAUGUUUCCUCUGAUUCACUCUCUGGUUUCUUGGUUUUAUUUUUAUUCAAGUUUUCUCCUCCUCAACCUUUCUUUUUUGCACUCAGGAUUAGCUCAGUCUUUGCAAAAGCUGUGGGACCAAAAAGAGCGGGAAACAGCGUUAAGAGAGGAUCUUGUGUCUGAAUGCUUCACCAGCAAAUUCAUGUUAAUUCUUUAUUUAUUUAAAUAAAAUGAAAUUUAUUUAAAGAAAGUUGAGCUUAUAGCUGCUCACUACCUCCUUUUUUUUUGCCGGUUAAACCGUUUUAUCUUUAAUUUUUCAGCAAUAACAAAUGUUUCAAGAAGUAUUUUGAAUGAAUGGAACUUUAUUAGCACUUCAUUAGGGUGUCACAGUUCUUUGCAAUUAAAGAAAAGGUUCUAAAAAAUUAUUUGAGAAAAUUUAGAACAAAAAAAAUAUAAAAUUACAAAAGGCAAAACAAAUAAAUAAAAGACAGGAAAGAAUUCAAUGAAGCGAGUAAAAGAAAAAAAGAUGCCAGCAACUACUGAGUAUUAAAAGCCAUUUUAAAAAGGUCUAAAAGUAUUUAGAUCAGUUCCGGAGGACCAUAUAUUUAUGGGGGCAGCCGCAUAAAAAGCAUGGUCUCCCCAGUGUUUUUGUUGUGAGGACAAGAAAAAAACUCCCCUGGGAAAUGAAAUUUUUAAACUGUUUUCUUUAAUCCCGCAAGAGGGCUGAUAAAAAAAAAAAAACAUGUAAAGUCGCUGUAGACAAGGCAGCUUAGCAUCAUCAGGGACCCACUACGUAAAUGCAAAAGCAUCAUUGAACACUUUUCUUUCUAAUUUAGCAGAUUUUAUGGUUUUUCUUGAUGAAAACACUCAAACACACUCUCCAUUUGUCCUCCUGCCCCUUUUUUAUCUCUCCUCCAGCAGGGAGCAGAUGAGGGGUCAAAGGUGUCACCUGUGGAGGAAGUGGUUCUUCUGCUGCCGGAAUGCCAAUGCCCCAUUUUACACACACACACAUGUUCUAGAGCAGCAGACGUGUCUCAGCUGGGAGCCAUUACAGGUGCCAUCCGCACAUGCGCACCUCUGACCCCUUCCUGUGUCCUUCCCCAUCAUCAUCUUCAUCAUCAGAGCCCAGUUUCAAACGCUGAAGCGUCUCCAAGAGUCUUCGUCGGGGAUUUUUCUGACCAGCAGCCGACAGUCAUUUCUGUUUUCAACCAGUAAAGUAAAACCUAACAAUAGUAUUUGGAUUUAUGUUUUUAUUUUAUUUUUUUAUCCCAGCACUUAAAACUCCUUUAAGAGCAAUUGCUCAAGAUUCAAGUUUUUUAUUGCCGUUUGCACAUGCGGUACAUCGGAAUUUGUCUUUGGCAUCUCUCAUGUCAGGGUAGGUUAAAAAA